GGCCGGCGGCGACAGCCACAGCGACAGCGGGGCGGCGGGGCCAGAGCCCCUUCGCGGAGCGGGAGAGCAUCAGGCCCCUGCGGCUGGUCUCCGGCGAGGGCGGCGGCGGGGCGCGGUGGCCGGCGCUGAGCACGCGGGUGCGGAGCGAGGCGGCGCGGACACAGUCUACCCACAUUGCUCGAGCCAGCUUCCAGGUUGAUGCUUUUGGAUCAUCUUUCAUCUUAGACGUGACACUAAACCAUGACCUGCUGUCUUCUGAAUAUCUUGAGAGGCAUAUCGAGCAAGGUGGGAAGACAGUGGAAGUUAAAGGAGGAGAACAUUGCUAUUAUCAGGGAAAAAUACGAGGAAAUCCUGUAUCAUAUGUUGCC